rnacentral:tRNA from 1 species
UGCGUAGCUCAGCUGGAUAGAGUGACUGACUACGAAUCAGUAGGUCGGGGGUUCGAGUCCCUCCGCGC